UUUGAUGAUUAGUUACGUAGUUUCAUUAUUCUAAAUUUAUAGAAAUACACGUGAUUUAUAACAAAUCAUUUCUUUUUUAAGAUAAUUGAUAAUUAACGACAAAACAAUAUUUAAUUUUUGAUAUUUGUCCGCCAAAUUCAAUCAUUUCAUAUACAACCUAAUACAUAUAAUGAAGUAAAUCUACCAAUCCACAUACAUAGUAUAUGUAUACGUACAUACAGUACAGUACAAUAGAGCGAAAAUAUUAAGCAAUAUCGUCAAUGACUCAUUGGUAGUGAAGGGCUAUAAUCAGUUAAAUAACAGGCAAUCAGAUUGAUCAAAUACGUGCAAAUUCCUUCCAAUCACGGCACGUGAACAAUCAAGACCGUAACCAGGCCAAUUGAAAGAUGCAGAAAGUUUCCAUAUUGGAGAAAGUUCAUGUAAUAUGAAUUAUAAUAAACUAUGGUAUGAUUUUAUUCAGCUCUCGCGUAACUGUUCAUGCAUCUUUCUUUUUUUCUUUGAACAGCUGUUAGUGCUUAUGUGUUUCUUAAGCUUCUGCUGUGCGGCCACCAUAGUACGAGAUAUUAAGCGCGUAAAAAUCACACAUGCAGAAAUUACCGACUGGUCUCGCGGCAACAGUUGUUACCGCUGGCUAAUAAAAUUCAAUUAUUAUCGGGGUAAAAGUUGUUUUAAAACGCAACGAACAAAGAGCUCAUUAUAUAGGAAAUAUUGUUGCUAUUAUAAUCUUUUCCUCUUUGCUAUGUAUAAUUAACCAAGUUAAGUUAUAAUAAAUUUUUUUUACUUACUCGAUGAGGAUAAGCCAGAUGCCACGUGACGUUAAAGUUACUCCCAGACAGUAAAGUAGUUUUAAUAUCCCCUGCAACAUAAAAUGAGCGCAUUAUGCAACAUUGCGCGCACUAUUCUAUACAAAUUUUCACGAUCGCUCGUCGCGCGUUAAAUUACGUCGAGAUACGGAAACUUGUAAUUUCUCAGGCUCAUCGAUUUAGACGAGAGACCUUACGAACAAUGAAAAGUUAAUAUUCAUUAAAGUAACGAGACACGAUAAUUCAACACAAUCACCGGAAACAUGCAUGGAUACAAGUUCAGCGAAAUCUUGCGUGCGAAUAUCCUUAUCCACACCCAGAUAGGAAAUAAAAAAAAGAAGCAGAAAAAUCACAUCCUUACAAGCAUUUUCUAUUUCUUAUUAUUUUAUGGCGUAAUAAGUAUCUAAGUAUAGAUGAAGGACUUUAUAA